GUAGUGUCGAUCGACACUCGCCGCUGGUGUUGAUAGACACUAGCGAUACAGAAGAUUGGUGUCGAUCGAUACUGAUGCCUAACAUCACUACAUUCGCUUCUCAUCAACAGAUCCACCUUUCCAAACCCUCCAAGGUCAUGUAACCACUCCAUAAGACUCGUCCAGAGGCACCAUAACACAAUAAAACACGCAUACAACCAAAGAAUAUC
rnacentral:lncRNA from 1 species